rnacentral:rRNA from 1 species
AUCUUAGAAGCUACGCGUGUCACGCCUUGUUAGUACUUGGAUGGGAGACCACAUGGGAAUACCAUGUGAUUUAGGCUA